UAGGGAAUCUUCCACAAUGGACGAAAGUCUGAUGGAGCAACGCCGCGUGAGUGAUGAAGGGUUUCGGCUCGUAAAACUCUGUUGUUGGAGAAGAACGGGUGUCAGAGUAACUGUUGACAUCGUGACGGUAUCCAACCAGAAAGCCACGGCUAACUACGUGCCAGCAGCCGCGGUAAUACGUAGGUGGCAAGCGUUGUCCGGAUUUAUUGGGCGUAAAGCGAGCGCAGGCGGUUUUUUAGGUCUGAUGUGAAAGCCUUCGGCUUAACCGGAGAAGUGCAUCGGAAACCGGGAGACUUGAGUGCAGAAGAGGACAGUGGAACUCCAUGUGUAGCGGUGAAAUGCGUAGAUAUAUGGAAGAACACCAGUGGCGAAGGCGGCUGUCUGGUCUGUAACUGACGCUGAGGCUCGAAAGCAUGGGUAGCGAACAGGAUUAGAUAC
rnacentral:rRNA from 1 species